UCCGGUUACAGUAGUGGAUUUCUGUUUUCAACUAAAAUAGAAUAGGCUAAGCACAAAUUUAUCUUCUGUUUUCUUCUCCUUCAUUCUCGUGCAAGUAGAACAGGACAGGGGUUACCACCAUUGAGCCAACGUCGUUCCUCAAAGUUGUGUGGAUCUAUAGUGGAGGUGUUGUGGUUGUUGUGUGGAAGCGCGUGCUAGAACGGUGGAGAUUAGAUCGGAGAUCCAAUGGAGCUUGCGUGGUGUGAUUGCUGAUGCAAGAUCUACGUGGAUAUGCGACGAGGCCUGUUGCGUUUCUGGUAACUGUUUGGAGGUCCAGUGGUGUGCGUUUGGGGCUCCGGUUAAAAGGUGUUGUUGUUUAUUGGGUUAUUAUGAUUGCAACAAUGGUGGUCAGCUUGGGGGUCUACGCGGUUUCCUGUGACUUGUUCGGAGGUCCGCGGGAUUGCUGUGGUGGUUCGGUGACAGAUUGACAUAGAUUUGUGAGUAUAUGGAGAAGGGCAUCUGACAAUAUUGGAUCAAAACUUUGUCUUCAGAACUCAGAUGGUAUUUACAAAACCCAUAACUUCCGGAGGUUGCCAAGGUGCUCGCAACAACGAUGACUUUUGUGAUCGCAUUUGUAAGGACCGCGGAUGAGGACAAAGAAGAUGAGAUAUUGGCAAUACCAAGAUCUACUCAAAAACACUACAUGUGGAUUAAAAAGACGUGAAAUAGGAAGACAUUCCUGAAAAGUUUUUUAAAGCUUUAUAUCCUACCAUAGCAAAAGCAAUGCUACUCUUUCCAAGGUGUAUAAAAGUAAAUAUUUUCAUACGAGA